ensembl:lncRNA
GGCUUACUGGCUAUGUCCCUCACCACCCCAUGGCUUCCCUACCAGCAGAGCUGGUGCCUGCUCCCUUGGCAGGAGCUGCUAGGCCCUGGGCACUUCAGUCCCAGACAUCUAAAGUUGCAUCCAUGCUGGACUUCAGGUUAAAUUAGUAAUUGUUUUACAACCAUCUAUGACUAAUCCAACUGAGUGGUUAGAAAGGAACACUGAAAGAAAUUUUAAUGUCAGAAAACAUGUGCCUGUUACUGUUGGUAAAGAAAUCAAGCAAAGCCCCCCCCCAGUCAGGUGUUAACUCCUGCUAUAAAUGAGUAAACAUGUGAGUAAGAGGCUUCCAGUUCACUGCACCCAAGCCUGCAUGAAAUCACGUUUGAGCUUCUGUAUCAGCAUCAGCAAUGUAAUCAUUUGCUUUGGCUCUGAGGCUUAUCCUUCUUAGUAUUAUAAAGAGCUAGUGAGUUACAUGUAUUCGUUCACAGAUUAUUUCGAACUGCUUACCUAUUGUUUCUGGAUAUCUGAGGAAACUGGAGAAUAAUGAUACAGGAGGACCAUUCCUGUUUGGGUGCUUCAGUUUUUCUGCUAAGAAAAGGCAAAGCUGAUGGUGACAUGCAGAAUCAAACUCUAUGGCCCGGUUAGGCUAUAAAGCAGAUUAAAAUCCAGGGAGCAGAUCCAUGGACACAUGAGCUAAUAGAACAUGAUCAUCAUAGGAUCAUAGGACCAGCCCAAGGCACGUCAUUCUCUGUGAGGCGACACUCCUCGCUGUGAUGUCACAGUUGUUGCCUCCUACACCCCUGUGGCAGCGGUGGGAGCGGUGGCUCAGUCUCUUGCGAGAGGCGCAGGAAGAGGACCCAGAGAGAGCAUUGUGUCUAUCUGGAGAUUUCCUGCUGUGAUGGAGCGGCUGAGAGCCCUUCGAGGUCUCUUUGCCUGUGUGGGCUGCGUGCCCAGAGGUACACGUCGCAGGGCCAGAGGCAGGGUGGCAAGCCCUGUCCCUGCCUGUGCCGUGACUUUGCUGCUGCAGCGCCUGCAAGACCAGGAG